rnacentral:rRNA from 1 species
GAUGAACGCUGGCGGCGUGCCUAAUACAUGCAAGUCGAGCGAACGGACGAGAAGCUUGCUUUUCUGAUGUUAGCGGCGGACGGGUGAGUAACACGUGGCUAACCUACCUAUAAGACUGGGAUCACUUCGGGAAACCGGAGCUAAUACCGGAUAAUAUUUUGAACCGCAUGGUUCAAAAGUGAAAGACGGUCUUGCUGUCACUUAUAGAUGGAUCCGCGCUGCAUUAGCUAGUUGGUAAGGUAACGGCUUACCAAGGCAACGAUGCAUAGCCGACCUGAGAGGGUGAUCGGCCACACUGGAACUGAGACACGGUCCAGACUCCUACGGGAGGCAGCAGUAGGGAAUCUUCCGCAAUGGGCGAAAGCCUGACGGAGCAACGCCGCGUGAGUGAUGAAGGUCUUCGGAUCGUAAAACUCUGUUAUUAGGGAAGAACAUAUGUGUAAGUAACUGUGCACAUCUUGACGGUACCUAAUCAGAAAGCCACGGCUAACUACGUG